rnacentral:lncRNA from 10 species
UUGCUUGUGAGAACUAGAGAGCUAAGGAACAGCUCCUCAAAGAGGAAGAUGGCACUUGCCAGAAGGCAGAGCUAAAGCACGCAGGAGACUUUACAGCCACCAGGGAUGACCCCAAGCCCACGCCCCAGGUGAAGGUCAAGCAACCGGAACAAUGCCACUCAGCUCAGAUCACUAGGACAGGAAGCCCAGGAAAAUUCCCUUCGGAGAUCAGCCUUCUACGAAACUAGAAGUUGCAUGCUACUGACUCCAGACCCAGGAGAGGCAGACACAGCACACACAGUAAAGGGGGAAAAGUUUCCUGGUGAGUCCUACAGAAUGACGGGGCUCAUUCACUCCUUAGAAAAGCACCUCUCUGCAUCCAUGGGGGCCUCAGGAUGACGGUGGAAAUGCCUGCUGCCAUCUCAGCUUUACUUGCGUGACUCUCCCCAGAUCCCCAGGCCUCGUCAGCAGAGACACAUCUAUCGAUAAUUACAGAAUACACAGCUUUGGGGGGCAUUUCCCUUCCAUUCACGACAUUUAGUGGUGUCAGUCUGAGCAUAAAUACAAUUAGAUUUGAGAGUUCUAUUACAAAAGCCAAUAAAGCGGGCCUCAGUAGAGAUUCUAAAAUUACUUAACUUUUCUUUAGAAAAAUAUUAAAACAGUAUUAUCACAUCAAUGAGAAGAAAAGACAGCAAGAUAAUAAAGUUAUGUUAAACCUCCCUGUAUUUACUCAUGUGUGAAACAGUUAUGUCUGGUCACAUAAUUGCAAUGGUUCUGAGAAAUAUUUCAUAUUUUAUAAUGAACAUUAAAAGAGUUUGUGGAUCAUUACUUUAUAUGAGUUCCAAAGUUAUUACAUAAAACCCAAUAGGAAUGGUUAUAAAUUAUCAGAUCCUCUGGCCUGGCCUUGGUAAACAUAACAUGAAGACUGAGACAUUUCAGCAGACAAGAUUCAUGAGAAGAGGUAAAAAUUCUUCCUGCAUUUUAAGGAGAAAAGAAGACCAGAGUACUUGUAACCAGCUCUUAGCAUUUUUGUUUCUGUUUCAAAGAAAUUCUAUUGAACCACUUGCUUAAGCCACACACACACAAAGCUUCUGUUAGAACAAAAGAGUAGUUCCUUUAGACACUGCCCUCAUCGCCUCAUUUUUCAUUAUCCUAUCUGUGGCCUUAAGGUCACUGCCAAAUUCUUGAAUUUUUCAACACAGUGUGGGUUUAAAAUGCUGUACUUAGCAGGCUCAUACGAUACCCAACAAUUCUUUAUUUUCAAAAGGAGAUCCUCUCUUUGAAAUCUGAAAAUAUGGCAUCUUUACAGAAAUUGGAGAGUUGAUAACAUUCUGAGGAAGUUUUCUUUUGGGGUCUGCAGAAUAGGUUUGCAGACAGAAUUUUAAUUACAAACUAUCAUUUGUGAACCACGGUUAAGCAUGAAAUGGAUGCUAUUCAAUUUCCUCGUGCUUAUUCUCUUUUUUAAAAAUAAAUCACAGCAUUAUAUUUUGUUCUGAAAAAUCACACCUGGAGCUUCCCUUCCUCCCUCCCCCUUGCUUUCUGCACGGUGAAAGAGUUAAGUAUGGGAAGAAUAGCAGCUGGGUAAACAAAGUUAAGGACCAGAGAAGUAACGUCAAAUCUUCUUGUCAGCAUCCAAGAGGCACAGUGCCCAACUGGGGCGCUUUCUGAUGAAACACACAGGCAACAUUUGCUACCUGGUUCUAGGAAAUACAGGCACCUCCCUCGCCUUUGUCCAAAGCAGCCCCGCUUCCGGUACCUGUGGAGUGAAGGUGGGCGCCCGCCCUCCAGGACCCCACCUAACCCCUCUGAGGCUCCCCUACCUGCCAACUCCCAACCUUAUCCCGGGUUCUCCCCUUUAUGUGGCGCAGCUGUUGGUGAGGCUUUCUCAGCAAACAGAUGUCUUUUGGAGAAUUUAAAGCUCUGAGUUGGAGGCCAGAUUCUGACUGUACUUUGAAUUAUGUCUGCCUCGAUCAUUAUGCAGUCAUUCACAUAUAUUUUAGACAUCAAUAUUGUCUUGAAAUAUUCUCGAGUUCUCAAUGCUAUUUAUAUGCUUCCAUUCUCUCCUUUGCUUCUGCUCUGACAGUAUGCUCCAACGUCCCAGCGUCACUGACGACUUGCAGAUCAUUUUAACACAUAUUUUCAUUGGUGAGGGCUUUGCCAUUUCAUUUAACAUGAUUUCUCGCUAAAUUGAGCAGAGAUUGACAUUCUUGGGACAACAACCAACCUUGGUCAUCUGUUUGGAUGGAGGAUUUACCCAGUUCAGUAUUUUUUAAGAUGAAACAGUGUCAUGUGUUGCCUCUUUCUACGGACAGCAAGUUUUUACCAAUGACAAAAGAAAGAUUCUAAGGAUGCCAAUUUACAAUGUGGGAGGAAAAAAAAUCUCUCCUUGCUUAUUUACAGAAAUGCUCAUCGGCUAACAUAUGAGAUUCUGAUAUAAUGUAAGCCCAUAGGUAAAAGAAAAAGCAAACUCAAACUGUGAAAACAAAGCAAAACAAAACAAAAACAGAUAUUUUCAGGACUUAAAGAGUAACAAGAAAAGGAGAGAAAUCUUUGGGGCUCUUUCAGCACAUUUAGUUCUAGGCCAAGUUUAGGAAAACCGUCAUGGCCCCUCAGAGCUUCAUAUGGUCACCAAGAGAGCCAAUCUGAUUCAAUGACUACUCUUACUUUCAAACGGGGUCAGGGCUCUCACCACCACCACUCAUCUAUUGAUCAUUUUGUCCUUGUUUGCAGAUCAUCCCUUUGAAGUAUUUUCGCAAUGGCCUCUAGGUGCCGCUAACACUGCAUAGCUUCAGCCUUUCUGCACAAUGAAAACAUUAAUUUGCUAUGAGAUAAUUUUUGACGUAAAUGUAAAAUGGUGCCCAUUCGAACUCAGUAAUGAAGCAUGGUGCAUUUCUGCAGCUCCUAAUUUGACUAGUUAAAUGACUCCAUUACGUGUCUAACAGACAGAAGCAAAUAAUUUCUGGUCAGUUGAUGUUCACUUACCCGUAUCAUUUUGCCCUGA